ensembl:snoRNA U3 Small nucleolar RNA U3
AAGACUAUACUUUCAGGGAUCAUUUCUAUAGUUUGUGACUUGAGAAAUGAGUUUCUAAAGUGUUUGGUCUCGCUAUCCACGAUGAAGAGUCGUGAUGUUCUCUUCUGAGCGUGAAGAGGGCAGAGAUUAAUGAUUCGAUUCAUAGGAUCUCUGUCGUUGAUGAACGUUCUUAUCUCCUCUGGGAGAGCGGAGGGAGAGAGCAUGAUCAGAGUGGU